GGCGAGAUGGCCGAGCGGUCUAAGGCGCUGUGUUAAGGUGACUCUUGAAGCAUCUCCGCAGUCUUCGGACGUGGGUUCGAAUCCCACUCUCGUCA
rnacentral:tRNA from 2 species